rnacentral:lncRNA from 1 species
UUUUAUUAGCCUAAGAGUGGGAAACUAUAACAUUUAAAAAUACAUACAACCUAUUUUUGUCUUUCAGCUGUUGAGAAAGCUUUGCUUUGCUUUCACCCAGAGACAUGGGAAGCAGUGAUAGAUAGUCAGAGGGGGCAACCCAUCUCUUUUAUUCCCACCGUGCUCUAUAAUUUGUAAUGCUUAUUGUGUCUGAAGUUAAAUCUGAGGCAUUCCAGAGCCCGGAAGCUGUGUGCAGUGAGGACCAGUUGACAGUGCUCUGGGCUGGGAGGCAAAGGACCUGGAGCCGGAGGUCAGGGACAGAUCUGGGAGCCCAGGGAUCGGUCCUGGACCUUGCACGGAGCUCUGCACUGAAAGAGAUGGAGAAAAACAUAAGCCGAGUCAGAGUGAAAGCCUCUUACACUGGUACAGACUUCGUCAUGGUGAUCACGUCUCUGCAGCCUUGAGGCCAGAUCGACGAAACACACACCCCAAAACCACUGCUGGGCUGGAGCUGCUGCAGAGGAGAAGCACAACCACUCAAGGGUCUUCACCUGAGGAAGCUGGCGAACUCUGUGCUUGGCAAACUGUAUUAGCAAGUAAGAUUCAAAGUCUUUUUAAUUAUUGGGGUAUAAACCUAAACUAGUAGAAAGCCAGUCUCUCUGAGGAACCCACACACCAUGUCACACUAUGUCAGGGAGCUGCAUGUGGCAAUUAUUUAUAGCUACAAGCUGAAACAUGGACACCUGAAACUGCACUCUGCUGCAGACAGGGGUUGCACUUGUCUUUGAGGUACUUGGUGGUAGACUGAAGGCGUGUCUGCAUAUCAGUAGGAAUAUUACCAUUUCUCAGAGGAGGCAACUCCCCACCCUGUUACAUUUACAAAUGGAACAGCUUCUCAAGAUUAUUAGCAUGCUUGCCUCUUCUUCGCUUAACUUUUGUUAGGCUAGGAAGGUUCUUGGAAUAGAGCAGUAUAUCAGCCCCAGAAUCUGUUUGAAGGUUUUGUACUGAGGCCUAAAUCUAGAUCUGUAUUCCCCAAGACCUCCUCUCCUUACUGCAAACCAAACGAGAGCACCACACCAUGCCCAGCUGCACUUUGAAGUGAAUCAGGUAGUGCAGAGCUCCUGGAGGACUUUCAGGUGAUGGAUCCAGAUCUGGCAAAUUUCGCAGCUGCUGGUUUUACCCUGACCUUGUAGCUCCCAACAGUGGGGUGAGUUCCAAAAAAAUCAAGGUGAUGAUAUACUGGGGAAAUGUGCAAGGAGUAGGAGGGCAUCCAUAGGGUCUUUGUGAGGCUGGGAAAGAGGCAUAGAUGUGUGAAAGGGAAUUAGGGGAGGAAGGUGAAGAGGAUAAAUGUUGGUUCUCUUCCUGUGGUAUCUAACUGCAACUCCACUGAGCCCAUUCCAAUAAAAUUUGCUUGCUGGGACCUCUAUACGAGUGC